AUUGAACGCUGGAGGCAGGCCUAACACAUGCAAGUCGAACGAGUGGCGGACGGGAGAAGAAUGUCUGGGAAACUGCCUGAGGGAGGGGGAUAAACACUGGAAACGUUCGCUAAUACAGCCUACAAUCGGAGUUGCCCCGAUGGGACGAGCUAGUAGGUGGGGUAACGGCUCACCUAGGCGACGAUCCCUAGCUGGUCUGAGAGGAUGACAAGCGACACGGGAACUGAGACACGGUCCAGACGCCUACGGGAGGCAGCAGUGGGGAAUAUUGCACAAUGGGAGCAAGCCUGAUGCAGCCAUGCCGCGUGUAUGCAGAAGGCCUUCGGGUUGUAAAGUACUGUCAGCCGGGAGGCGUUACCCGCAGAAGAAGCACCGGCUAACUCCGUGCCAGCAGCCGCGGUAAUAC
rnacentral:rRNA from 1 species